rnacentral:pre_miRNA from 1 species
AGGAGGAGCAACCCCGGUGGCUGCGGCAGCUCUGGUACCCUGGAGUCAGCCCCCGCAGUAACUCUGGAGCUCUCGGUCUGCAGGCCCUGGAGGCUCCGGGGCGGG